rnacentral:rRNA from 1 species
UACAGGGAGGGGCAAGCGUUGUCGAAUUACUGGGCGUAAAGGGCGCGUAGGCGGCCUGUUAAGUCGAACGUGAAAUCCCCGGGCUCAACCCGGGAACUGCGUCCGAUACUGGCAGGCUUGAAUCCGGGAGAGGGAUGCGGAAUUCCAGGUGUAGCGGUGAAAUGCGUAGAAUAUCUGGAGGAACACCGGUGGCGAAGGCGGCAUCCUGGACCGGCAUUGACGCUGAGGCGCGAAAGCCAGGGGAGCAAAACGGGG